GAUUUUAAUUUGUACUUGUAUACUUAGGCUGGGAGGGGUAUUCCCAGUGACUAUAGCUGAAAGACCCUGUACCUAUUCCAUCUUAAAUUUACAAAGAUAAUUUUUACCUUUGUUCUUUCUUCAAUUAAAAUUUUUUCUUGUUUAAGAA